rnacentral:rRNA from 1 species
CCUACGGGUGGCAGCAGUGGGGAAUAUUGCACAAUGGGCGCAAGUCUGAUGCAGCAACGCCGCGUGAGCGAUGAAGGCCUUCGGGUCGUAAAGCUCUGUCCUCAAGGCAGAUAAUGACGGUACUUGAGGAGGAAGCCCCGGCUAACUACGUGCCAGCAGCCGCGGUAAUACGUAGGGGGCUCGCGUUCUCCGGAAUUACUGGGCGUAGAGGGUGCGUAGGUGGUUUCUUAAGUCAGAGGUGAAAGGCUACGGCGCAACCGUAGUAAGCCUGUGAAACUGGGAAACGUGAGUGCAGGAGAGGAGAGUGGAAGUCCUAGUGUAGCGGUGAAAUGCGUAGAUAUUAGGAGGAACACCAGUUGCGAAGGCGACUCUCUGGACUGUAACUGACACUGAGGCACGAAAGCGUGGGGAGCAAACAGGAUUAGAUACCCUAGUAGUC